rnacentral:rRNA from 1 species
AUGCGUGAUCAAGUCGGCAUCGACCUGGACGGCUUCCCCCUCGACCACGAGUUCUCGGAGGACUACGGGCUAGAGGAAGAGGACGAGUGCGACAUCGAAGUGGAGCCUUUGUUCGAGGACGAGCUCGCCAACCAAACCGCCGGUCCUAAGCCGAAGCGCAAGAGCAAGCGCACGAAGGCGUACACAACUGCCGAGGACAAGCUUCUUUGCGAGUGUUGGCGAGACAUUGGACAAGACCCAAAGAUGGGCACCGAGCAAAAGCAUUCGACCUUUUGGACUCGUGUGCACCGCGAGUUUCAUGAGCGCAAGAAGUUUCCACCUUACCAAUUUGUGAGCACGCGCGGGUGGGUCUUCAUUUCCAAGCGGUGGAGGGUGAUCCAACAAGAGUGCAACAAGUUUUGCGCCACCUUGAGAGCGUCAAGGCCCGCCCCGUGA